rnacentral:rRNA from 1 species
UACGUAGGGUGCAAGCGUUGUCCGGAAUUAUUGGGCGUAAAGAGCUCGUAGGCGGUUUGUCGCGUCUGCUGUGAAAAUCCAGGGCUUAACCCUGGACCUGCAGUGGGUACGGGCAGACUGGAGUGCGGUAGGGGAGAUCGGAAUUCCUGGUGUAGCGGUGAAAUGCGCAGAUAUCAGGAGGAACACCGGUGGCGAAGGCGGAUCUCUGGGCCUGUUCUGACGCUGAGGCGCGAAAGCUAGGGGGAGCGAACAGG